CAAGAACCAUGGGAGGUGUCUGGAUUCUGAUCUUCUGCACAGUAACCGUUUGGCAUACAGCAUCUUGCUUGCCAAUUGAGCAAAAUGGAGGCAUACAGUAUGAUGUGUCUCUGAAGAAAACUGCUUCACUCCAGUUAUUGGCUUCCAGGUUGAGGCAAACUUCUAAAGUUCAACUGGACAUCAAUGAAGUGUCAAGUGACGCCGCCCACAAUGUGUCAAGUGACGCCGCCCACAAUGUGUCAAGUGACGCCGCCCACAAUGUGUCAAGUGACGCCGC